UAGGGAAUCUUCCACAAUGGACGAAAGUCUGAUGGAGCAACGCCGCGUGAGUGAAGAAGGGUUUCGGGCUCGUAAAACUCUGUUGUUAAAGAAGAACACAUCUGAGAGUAACUGUUCAGGUAUUGACGGUAUUUAACCAGAAAGCCACGGCUAACUACGUGCUAG
rnacentral:rRNA from 1 species